AGUCAACUUUUUCUCAGAAAAAGUUUUUUUGAGGGCUAGCAUGAAUAUUUUAUUUGAGAUGGCGCACUCCAUCCCUUGCGAGCAAGGGAGACCCAAGCGCCCGCAGGUUGCCAACGGAUUAGAUGAGGCAUCAGGCGAAAGUAGGUGAAAGUGACAGCACGAGACCUUCAAAAAGAACCUCGCUAAAAGGUUCACGGCUAAGUCUAUAUAGAUAUGCCGAAACGUGCCGAGACGGGUCAAAUACACGAAAAGGACCUAGACAAAGUUUCGAAAGAAAUAGCUUGUAGGGCGUGUUGAACGCAAGUAAAAAGUCUAGUUGUAAGCUGAAAUACUUACAAAGUAAUCUAAUCC
ncrna:unclassified sequences GEBRO RNA